rnacentral:lncRNA from 1 species
AUAGUGGGAGUAUUAUGUACAACUAAAAACAAUCAUAUGGACCAAUAGUUGUAAUAGGACCAAAAUUGUUUUAAUAGAGAUUAAAAUGUAUGUUUAUAUGUGAUGAGACCAAAAAACCCUCAACCAAACCAAUAUUAAGUUGAUAAGCGGAGAGUGCUUAGAACACUCUUUCGUGGCCUUCCACCGUGGUGGGAUCCAAUCGUUUAUGACUUGUACACCGGCUUCACCCUAUCAUGGGGGAGUACAAAGUGCAUGCUUAUACUCAGGAGGAAUCCAUACACAUAUGAUGAGGUGAGUGUAGGCAACGAGGAUGGCCAAUAUCAUAUCAUUGUGAGGCUAUUCUUGAACCCCUUC